rnacentral:rRNA from 1 species
AUUGAACGCUGGCGGAAUGCUUUACACAUGCAAGUCGAACGGUAGAGGGGGCAACCCCUCGAGAGUGGCGAACGGGUGAGUAAUAUAUCGGAACGUGCCCAGUCGUGGGGGAUAACGUAGCGAAAGUUACGCUAAUACCGCAUACGAUCUAAGGAUGAAAGCGGGGGAUCGCAAGACCUCGUGCGAUUGGAGCGGCCGAUAUCAGAUUAGGUAGUUGGUGGGGUAAAGGCUCACCAAGCCAACGAUCUGUAGCUGGUCUGAGAGGACGACCAGCCACACUGGAACUGAGACACGGUCCAGACUCCUACGGGAGUCAGCAGUGGGGAAUUUUGGACAAUGGACGCAAGUCUGAUCCAGCCAUUCCGCGUGCAGGAUGAAGGCCCUCGGGUUGUAAACUGCUUUUGUACGGAACGAAAAGGUCUCUCUUAAUACGGGGGACUCAUGACGGUACCGUAAGAAUAAGCACCGGCUAACUACGUGCCAGCCGCCGCCGUAA